UGGAGCGAAAGAGCGACUAACGGAACCAGCUCCCCUGGAGCUGGAACUGAGGAAGCUCCCAACUAUGUGUCGAUGCCGGUCCUGUGUGAACAGGGAGGCGAGAGUCUCGCUCUGGGAACAGAAACGGCACAUCCGGCCAGGAUAAGACUAUGAUGCGCAGACGUUCAAUGCGCUGAGGAUCUGACUGGAACAGUUGAAACGGCCCAACACUGGAUAGCAACUCCAAGAAUACGCCCAUGACGUGUCGACCCGAGGCGUAGGGUAGGAGGCUUAGUCUGAUGUCGCGAGGUUCAUCUUUGGCAACAGCGAUGGACGAAACAGAAUUGGGGCUACUCUUCGAACCA
rnacentral:RNase_P_RNA from 1 species